GUGAGUCCCUCUUGGGGCCUUAGUGUCGGCGGCCCGCUGAGUCUUUGGCGGUGGUCCAUUCUGCGGGUAGAGUGUUGAGCUCGGGUACAGUCUCCUGGGUCAGGGCAAAGUCUGGUGGCGGUUCCACUUGGAGGCUCCUGAGGAAUUUCCUAGGGUCCGCACCUGGUAGCAGCGUGUAUGUUGUUCCGGAUUUGAAGGCCACCAAUUUGAAGGGGUGUCCCCAAGUGUAUUUGAUUUCCUUCUCUUGUAGAAGCAGCGUCAGGGGUCUCCAGUUUCUUCUGCGUUGCAGAGUGGUAGGGGACAGAUCCUGAUAUAAGUUGAUAGCUGUGUCUUGGUAUGUCAGAUUUUUAUUUCGUGCAUAUUUCAUCACCGCUUCCUUCGUGGAAUAGUAAUGGAAACGGAGGAUGAUAUCCCUUGGGGUCUGUCCCUCCACCCUGCGCGCCCGGAGCGCUCUAUGUGCGCGGUCGAUUGCCCAGUGUUCGUCCGAAAUACCUGGGAUUAGUUGUUUGAAGUACUGCUUCAUUUUGUUUACCAGGUCCCCCUCGUGAGGCGAUUCGGGGAGUCCCCGGAGUCGUACAUUAUUGCGCCUGGAGCGGUUGGCGAGAUCUUCCACCAUCAUUUCCAGGUCUGUUAUUUGUUGUCUCAUGGUCCUGGAGUGUGUCACCACCGAGUUGUGAGCGC